UACGUAGGGAGCAAGCGUUGUCCGGAAUCAUUGGGCGUAAAGCGCGCGUAGGCGGCCCCAUAAGUCCGCUGUGAAAGUCAAAGGCUCAACCUUUGAAAGCCGGUGGAUACUGUGGGGCUAGAGUACGGAAGAGGCGAGUGGAAUUCCUGGUGUAGCGGUGGAAUGCGCAGAUAUCGGGAAGAACACCUAUGGCGAAGGCAGCUCUCUGGGACGGUACUGACGCUGAGACGCGAAAGCGUGGGGAGCGAACAGG
rnacentral:rRNA from 1 species